rnacentral:rRNA from 1 species
GAUGAACGCUAGCGGCAGGCUUAAUACAUGCAAGUCGAGGGGCAGCGCAGUGUAGCAAUACAUGGGCGGCGACCGGCAAACGGGUGCGGAACACGUACAGAACCUUCCUUUAAGUGGGGAAUAGCCCAGAGAAAUUUGGAUUAAUACCCCGUAACAUUAUGGAGUGGCAUCACUUUAUAAUUAUAGAUUUAUCGCUUAAA